rnacentral:rRNA from 1 species
UUACGAAAGUCUGAUGGAGCAAUACCUCGUGAGCGACGAAGGUCUUUUGAUUGUAAAGUUCUUUUAUUUAGGAAAAAAAGCGCGCUAGGAAAUGAGCGCGCCUUGAUGGUACUAAUUGAAUAAGUGACAGCUAACUAUGUGCCCAGCUAGCUGCGUAAAACAAUUGCCCC